AACGAACGCUGGCGGCAGGCCUAACACAUGCAAGUCGAACGGGACCUUCGGGUCUAGUGGCGGACGGGUGAGUAACGCGUGGGAACGUGCCCUUUGGUUCGGAAUAGCCCCGGGAAACUGGGAGUAAUACCGGAUAAGCCCUACGGGGGAAAGAUUAAUCGCCAGAGGAUCGGCGCGCGUGGGAUAAGGUAGUUGGUGAGGUAAUGGCACACCAAGCCGACGAUCCAUAGCUGGGUUGAGAGGAUGAGCAGCCACACUGGGACUGAGACACGGCCCAGACUCCUACGGGAGGCAGCAGUGGGUGAUGUUAGACAAUGGGGGAAACCAUGAUCUAGCCAUGCCGCGUGAUCGAUGAAGGCCUUAGAGUUGUAAAGAUCUUUCAGUGGGGAAGAUAAUGACUGUACCCACAGAAGAAGCCCCGGCUAACUCCGUGCCAGCCGCCGCCGUAACAC
rnacentral:rRNA from 1 species